rnacentral:rRNA from 1 species
AAGACCGGUGCCAGCCGCCGCGGUAACACCGGCGGCUCGAGUGGUAACCGUUAUUAUUGGGUCUAAAGGGUCUGUAGCCGGCCGGAUAAGUCUCUUGAGAAAUCUGGCAGCUUAACUGUCAGGCUUUCAGGAGAUACUGUCUGGCUCGAGGCCGGGAGAGGUGAGAGGUACUUCAGGGGUAGGGGUGAAAUCUUGUAAUCCUUGAAGGACCACCAGUGGCGAAGGCGUCUCACCAGAACGGACCUGACGGCAAGGGACGAAAGCUAGGGGCACGAACCGGAUUAGAUACCCGGGUAGUCCUAGCCGUAAACGAUACUCGCUAGGUGUCGGCCACGGUGCGACCGUUGUCGGUGCCGUAGGGAAGCCGUGAAGCGAGCCACCUGGGAAGUACGGCCGCAAGGCUGAAACUUAAAGGAUUUGGCGG